UGUGUGUGUGUUAUGUGUGUGUGUGUGUGUUUUGUGUGUGUGUGUGUGUUUUGUGUGUGUGUGUGUGUGUGUGUGUGUGGUGCGUGCGUGCGUGCGUGCGUGUGUGUGUGUAGGGGAAGUUGUGUGUCUGCAGCAGGAUGUGGUGAGGAGGAAGGAGGAGUCCAGAGCAGAGCAGGAGGCGUGGUCACAGAGAGAGGAGCUCUGCAGCAACAGGUGGACAUGAUGAAGACACCAUGGAGACACUGAAGAUGGAGAAGGAGCAGAUAGCAGACGAACUGGUCAGAGCUGAGGAAGGAGCUGAAGACUCUGACGAGCAGGUUCAAAACCAGCAGCAGAGCUGAGUAGGUGUCAGAGUGAGAUCUAUGGACUCAGAGAGGAGGUGCAGAAGGAGCAAAGGAGCAGAGAGAGAGACGUUUCAACCCUCAAGGAGGAGGUGCAGAAGGAUAACCAGGAGAGGGAGGAGGAGCUUAGGAGGCGUUGGACAGAGAUCUAUGGACUUAGGGAGGAGCUAAAGAAAAAACAAGAGGCAAAGGAGGAGGAGCUUAGGAGGUGCAGGACUGAGAUUUAUGAACUCAGAAAGGAGGUGCAGAGAAAGGAGAGAAUGGAAAAGGAGGAGCAAACAAGAGAGCAGGAGGUGCAGAAGGAGAGAAUAGAAGAGAAACUAAUGAGAGCAGAGGAGGAGGUGGUGAGUCUGAAGGAGGAGAUGAUGAGGAAAGAAAGAAAAGAGAAGGAGGUGCAGGAGGAGCUAAUGAAAGAAAGAGAGGAGGUGCAAAAGAAGCAAGUGGAGAAGGAGCAGAUAGCAGAAGAACUGGUCAGAGCUGAGGAGGAGCUGAAGACUCUGACAGAGCAGGUUCAAAACCAGCAGCAGGAGCUGAGUAGGUGUCAGAGUGAGAUCUAUGGACUCAGAGAGGAGGUGCAGAAGGAGCAAGAAAAGAAAGAACGAAUAGGGGAGAAGCUGCUCGGAGUAGAAGAGGAGCUGAUGACUCUGAGAAAGGAGCUUCUAGACAAGCAGGAGAAGGAGCAGGAGCUGAGGAGGUGUGUGAUAGAGAUCUAUGAACUCAGAGAGGAGGUGCAGAAGGAGCACGUGGAGAAGGAGCAGAUAGCAGAAGAACUGGUCAGAGCUGAGGAGGAGCUGAAGACUCUGACGGAGCAGGUUCAAAACCAGCAGCAGGAGCUGAGUAGGUGUCAGAGUGAGAUCUAUGGACUCAGAGAGGAGGUGCAGAAGGAGCAAAGGAGCAGAGAGAGAGACGUUUCAACCCUCAAGGAGGAGGUGCAGAAGGAUAACCAGGAGAGGGAGGAGGAGCUUAGGAGGCGUUGGACAGAGAUCUAUAGACUUAAGGAGGAGCUACAGAAAAAACAAGAGGCAAAGGAGGAGGAGCUUAGGAGGUGCAGGACUGAGAUUUAUGAACUCAGAAAGGAGGUGCAGAGAAAGGAGAGAAUGGAAAAGGAGGAGCAAACAAGAGAGCAGGAGGUGCAGAAGGAGAGAAUAGAAGAGAAACUAAUGAGAGCAGAGGAGGAGGUGGUGAGUCUGAAGGAGAAGAUGAUGAGGAAAGAAAGAAAAGAGAAGGAGGUGCAGGAGGAGCUAAUGAAAGAAAGAGAGGAGGUGCAAAAGAAGCAAGAGGGAAAUGAGGAGCUGAAGAGCAGAGUUUCCUUACUCAGAGAGGAGGUGCAGAGAAAGGAGAGAAUGGAAAAGGAAGAGCAAACAAGAUAG
ensembl:lncRNA